rnacentral:rRNA from 1 species
AACGAACGCUGGCGGCAGGCCUAACACAUGCAAGUCGAGCGCGCCUUCGGGUGAGCGGCGGACGGGUGAGUAACGCGUGGGAAUAUGCCCUUUGGUACGGAAUAGUCCUGGGAAACUGGGGGUAAUACCGUAUGCGCCCUUGGGGGAAAGAUUUAUCGCCAAAGGAUUAGCCCGCGUUGGAUUAGGUAGUUGGUGGGGUAAUGGCCUACCAAGCCGACGAUCCAUAGCUGGUUUGAGAGGAUGAUCAGCCACACUGGGACUGAGACACGGCCCAGACUCCUACGGGAGGCAGCAGUGGGGAAUCUUAGACAAUGGGGGCAACCCUGAUCUAGCCAUGCCGCGUGAGUGAUGAAGGCCCUAGGGUUGUAAAGCUCUUUCAGCUGGGAAGAUAAUGACGGUACCAGCAGAAGAAGCCCCGG